rnacentral:rRNA from 1 species
GACGAACGCUGGCGGCGUGCUUAACACAUGCAAGUCGAACGGUGAAGGGGCCUGCUUUUGUGGGCCCUGGAUGAGUGGCGAACGGGUGAGUAACACGUGAGUAACCUGCCCCCUUCUUCUGGAUAACCGCAUGAAAGUGUGGCUAAUACGGGAUAUUCUGGGUCUGUCGCAUGAUGGGUCUGGGAAAGAUUGCGCCUUUGGGUGUUUUUGGUGGGGGAUGGGCUCGCGGCCUAUCAGCUUGUUGGUGGGGUGAUGGCCUACCAAGGCGGUGACGGGGAGCCGGGCUGGGAGGGUGGACGGUCACACUGGGACUGAGACACGGCCCAGACUCCUACGGGAGGCAGCAGUGGGGAAUAUUGCACAAUGGGCGCAAGCCUGAUGCAGCGACGCCGCGUGAGGGAUGGAGGCCUUCGGGUUGUAAACCUAUUUCGCAAGUGAAGCAGGCCUGCUCCUUGUGGGUGGGUUGACGGUAGCUGGAUAAGAAGCGCCGGCUAACUACGUG